rnacentral:tRNA from 2 species
AAGAGUAUAGUUUAAUGGUAAAAUAAGAAGCUUCAACCUUCAUGUUCUCUGUUCAAAUCAGAGUACUCUUG